GCUUAGUUACCAAAUUCCUUCUCAAUUGAUCAAGGCUAAAUCCCACCCUUGCCCAUACUCAAAUGAUAUAAAUGCUGAGCUAAGGAGUACAUCAUUUCCUUAUAUGAAAAAUCACAGAAGGCCUGGAAGUUCACCUCCCUAACUGGUUAAUGGUAUCUAUGUCUGUGGAAGUAAGAGGAGGCCAAGAUUAAAGAGAAAGGGAUUUAAAGGGGUGUUAUACCUUUAUUUUGGCAGUGGCAGCACCGAGCUGCUCUGGGGGACCCUCUCCCCAGUGGCAAGAAAAGAAUAUGCCCAGCUGAGGCAGGUAUGAGCAUCUUCAUUAUCACCAUAUAUAAUAAUAUAAUAGUUGGUUUGUAUUAGGGCAUAUGAUUGUUCUUGACAAACUUGACAUAAGUAAAUGCUA
rnacentral:lncRNA from 12 species